GAGCAUAGAGAUAAUUCUAAUCAGUACCAAAACCAGAGAUAGCACCCAUUGGUAUAUGAGCUGAUAAAGUCAUGACUGAGACCUUAUUAGCUCCAUAAGCAACCUUAGAUGAAGGGAAAUUUCUCUGAAUAUGACCAGACAGACAAUAUUUGAAGAAUAAGUUCUCCCUUCAUUACAAUAACCAAGGUGAAACUGACCAUAAAAUCUACAAGAAG
rnacentral:lncRNA from 1 species